UCCCACCGCAAGGGUAAGACCCCAGAAAGACUAUCUGGUUGAUAGGUCGAAGGUGUAAGUGCAGCAAUGUAUUUAGCUUAUCGAUACUAAUAGGUCGAGGACUUGACCAAUAUU
rnacentral:rRNA from 1 species